rnacentral:rRNA from 1 species
AUACGGAGGGUGCAAGCGUUACUCGGAAUCACUGGGCGUAAAGCGCGCGCAGGCGGCCCGAUAAGUUGGAUGUGAAAGCCUACGGCUCAACCGUAGAACUACAUCCAAAACUGUCGGGCUCGAGUCUGGGAGGGGAAGAUGGAAUUAGUUGUGUAGGGGUAAAAUCCGUAGAGAUAACUAGGAAUACCAAAAGCGAAGGCGAUCUUCUGGAACAGUACUGACGCUGAGGCGCGAAAGCGUGGGGAGCAAACAGGAUUAGAAACCCCAGUAGUCC